UCUUCUUCCUUUGUCUUUCGUUUCCUCCGCCGCAGCUCUUUUUCUUCUGCAUAAUACCUAUCCCCUCUAUUUCCCAGAUCUGCUCUUCAUAUUGGCUUUUCUUUCAAUUCGGCUCGAGAUUCGAUUAGAUCGUUUCUCUACCUGUGUUUCAAUGGUAAUUUUUUGCCGUUUCAUGCUAUAUUCCGGUUUUGAUCACUGUGCUCUUCGAUCACAGACUAUGAUUCGUUCUCGCUUCAGAUCGAUGGAGUUUGGAUGACCGCGACGGAUAUGGAGAUAUCUUUUGUAGAAAGAUCUUCGUCUCUCUGUUAUCUGUGUUGGUUAUUUUGGAUUCUUUGAAGACUUGAAUAAAGAGGGGUUUCUGUUGUAUUUUGCUCAGCAAAUCGAGAACGAAACUGGAUCUGUUGCGUCUAUAUCUCCGAUGAUCUAUUUUCGUUUGGAGCAGUGGAAGAGAAUCUUGAACGAUUAUACAUCGGCUGGGAAUAGUGAACGACCUUGGAUCUUUUGCGUCUUUAUUUCCGAUGAUAUAUUUUCGUUUGGAGAUUCGAAAGAGAAUCUCGAACGACUAAUCAUCGGCUAGGACGGAUUGCGUUGGAGGACCGGAUUCUGUUGAUCUAAACGAUGAUUAGACUGCCCUCCCGAAGAAGAAUCCACUUGGGAACUUUGUGAGGAUUAUAGUGGGGUUUGAUACUACGUGUGUCAUAUUUAUAUUCCUCGCCUAAUUAUUAUGAUAUUGUCUGUUAUUUCAUCGAUACUAUCUAUUAAGAGGCAAGGAUGGUGUGAGAUUUAUGAGCAUCAGGUAUGAUCUUGUAAGGUAUUGUGGCCAUGUAUCGACCUUUGCCAUGACAGGUGCGCUUGCUUGGCAGGUCAAAUUUACUUAAUAAAAAAAUUUUUCCUUUUUGUUUUGGGGGGAGACGGCCCUGGUGGUUUUUUCCUCGUUUUGGGCUGGUCUCCCUCCAUGGGCGUGCUCUCUCGCUCUGUGUGCGUCUCUGUCUCUGCAUCUCUCUCCCUCUCUCUCUCUCUCACACACACACACACCCCUUCUAUACGAAGCGUUGUUGGUUAGCUAAAUGCUUCGUUGGCAGUGGCUUCAUCGUUGACUCAAACACGCUAUAAAAGACGAGGCUGCCCUAUUCGGGUAUGCAUUGAUCGGAUUGCUGUUCCAGAUUUCCAUCCCAAAGGUACUUUAAUCUGUUAUACCAAAGUUAAUACCAGAGGUACUAUCUGCUAUUUAAUCUCGAUUGGUUCAAUCUAUUUCUUAGUCGUAUACAUGCUUCUACCUAAGUGAUACAUGAUGCAAGUACGCAUGAUAAUCGUAAGGAUUUGAAAAAUCUAUCAAUUCAGACUUUUAAGCGUAAAAGGGUGCAUUUUGUUUCCCAAAGGUUUGCCUUUUUUGAGGUGUAUUACAUUGCGUGAAAGGAUUUGAUGAUAGAAAAUACAUGGUGGAUAACCAGAAAAUGGAAUUGGCACCGGGGCUAACAAUUUUUAGUUUGCUGGUUUCGAUUGAGAGCUAUUGGACAUCCUUUCGGUGCAUAUUUUUAGUAAAAUUGAAUCAAAUACCAGCAGUUUUUUUCAAUCUAAGAUAUAUCUACGAGUUCUAACCAUUUCUACAAAACUGCUACAAAACUGGGUAUCCAAAUUUUCGCCAUGAAUAAUGCUAUUUAUUUUGCAGUGGAUUCUUUUUUGACAAGCUCAUCUGCAAGUCUUAAUUUGAAAUGUUAAUAGAGAGUUUUAUGCGGUUUAUUUGCCUUUAGAGUAUUUAUUUUGCAGUGGAUUCAUUGUUGGAAGUCACUUUAAGGUGGAUCUGUUUGUAAAUUGUGGGGUAUUGGUGUUGUGAAUCUGGAUAUUUCAUUCUGUAAGGUUAAUAUGAUAAUUAGCCUCCAUCUGUAGAGCAAUGCGCUCUUAGGGGCAUGAAAUCUUGUUAUGAUUCGUGGCACCAGAGUCACUGCUGUUCGUUCAUGUUUGGUUCUAGGAGCUUUGCUUUAUUUUUUGUGGCUUCAAGACAAGGCCAGAGAUAUGUUACAUGUGGAAUGCAGAAGAAUUCUUGCCGACCUUGUAUAGUUUACGACUGCAACCCAAGUGAAGCGUAAGGAGUUGCCAGGACGUGGGACUAUUUUGCUGGGUAUAUACUCGAGGUAAUAUAAGACUCAUGAUGAUUAAGUUCCUCGGAAUAUGAUUUAUAAUUAGAAUUAUAUUUUGCUACUAGAUUCCGUUGUUUUGAUAUAGCUAAUGUAUAUUUGAGUACACAGAUGCUUUUGAUUUGUCGGUUGUCCCAGCGGGAUUGAUCCCCUUAGUUUGGUCUGUACUUGCCAAAAGAAGUAACUAACGUAGUUUUGGUUUCCUCAGGUGGUACUUGUCUUGUGGUAAGAAGCCUGCUCAUAUUGAUCAUCGAAUACUAUUUGGGGCUGAAAUAGCCCGUUGGCUGGAAUUGUGUUUUUACUGCACAUCAAAUUCAGUCGAGUUUUGUAUACACAGGUGCAUUUUUGUGAGGGGUAGUGAUAGAGUUACCACUCUAUCACCACCCAUCUACCACUCAAAAGUGCAUUUCAAAUUUUUAUUUUUUAUUUUUUAUUAUUAAGUAUUUUUUUAACAUCUUUAGUCAUUAAGAAAAAAUUUAAAAAAAUAUAUAAUUUUAUUAAUACUCACAUCAUUAAUCAUUAAAUAAAAUUAAAAAUUAAAAAAAAUCAAAUACAAAAAGAUUAGUAGUUAAGUUGUAGUUGAGUAGUAAUAAUAAUAUUUUCCUUCUGUGAGACUGGUAUAAAGUAUAAACUACUGGCUCUCAUAAUAACUGUCAUGAACGUAUAAAAGUUGUGUUGCUGCUGUUGUCCCGAUAAUUCUCAGAAAGUGUCCUCUCGUAAAAACAUCUAUUUUUUUAUAGAAUUGUUUUCGGAAUAUUUAUACUUUAAUUGAUGAGUUGUCAUAUUUUUGAAGUUUUUAAUUAUAAGUAUAUUGUUUUAAUUUUUUGAAAAAAAUAUUUGAGGAUGUUUAAAAUAUAUUGAAAGAAACGGUCAGGAAAAAGAAAGCUUAAUUUGGUGUUAUAUUAUAUAGGAAAAAUAUAGUUACAAGCACAAUUGUGUACUAAUCUGUGUAUUAAUAUGAUGUGAUUGGUUAAAAAGUAAAUUUUAUUAAAAACAGUGUUAAUUUAAAUUUUAAGUAUGAAUAAAUCAGUAUUGGUAUACAGAUUAGUGCGCAAUUAUGUUUGUAUGUAGCAAAAUUUUAUUAUAUAACUCUUUUGGUGGACGGAAUAAAUUAAUGAAGCUUAAGUUGUGUUAAAACUAAGUAAGGUGAAGUCAAAUGGAUCCAUAAGCUCAAAAUGGUUAAGAGCGCUCAAACCUCGGUUUGGGAGGUUGGUGGUUCGAGCCCACCUGGGUCUCUUCUCGGGGAGAUUGAAAUGGUACUGUCACUAUUAUAAUAUUUUUAAACCAAUUGAAUUUAUCCACACAUUAUAAGAGGGCCAAAAAUGUUACCGGCACAGCUCACCUUAGGUGUUAUGUAACAGAGUUCAUCAGACAGUCCGACACAGAGAUAAAUGGACACUAAGAGAAAAUGGACACAUCACCAUCUCUUGAGACAUGCAUGUAAGGAAAUAUUAUUUAAUUAACUCAUAUGUUAUAAAAUUAAACAUAAAUUAUGAUAUUAAUUAAUUUAAUUUAUAAUUUAAAUUAUUAAUUAAUCUAAAUUAUAAUUUAAAUUUAUGCCUAUUAAUCAUAUUUUUAGUUAAAAUUAAUAAUAAUAUGAUGAAUUAAUUAAAAUAUAUUGAUACUAGAUAUAUCAAAUAUGUAAUAAUUCGGUUUGAUGACAGUCGAUCAUUGUAAUGAAAUAAGGAAAGAUUACUUGAAUCAAAUAUGUACAUUUUAUGCAAUGUGAUUCUGUGUCUCACGUUUAAAAAUAUGUUGAAGAUACUUGUGGAACUCUAAAAUUACCAUUCUUGAUUAUUAAAUGGGUCAGUUAGAGCACUGGCAUUGGUCUCGGUAAAAUAAAGAAAAUUUCAAAAUUUGAAUGGUUUGGAGGUUAAAACGCUGGCAUUGGAUUUGGCAAACGGUAAAAGUCAAGCUUUGAGCUACAGUAAAUUUAGUUUCACCUUCAUCUUUGAAGACUCACUGUUUACCGUCUAUCACAUUAUUUUAUUAUAAAAUCACUUCUUUCAACUGUUCCUUUCCUUUUCGCCUGUGAUUCCGUUUCUUUCUCGCCAUUUCUCUUCCUCUGCCUUUCUUCCUCUCCCAGACGUUUCUUUCGCCUGUGAAUCUGAAAAAAAAAAUUUCAUUUCUCUCUUUCAAUUUUUUCUCUCCAUUUUCUCUCUUAUUUUUCUCUUUCUCUAUCUCUCUCUCUUCCAUCUAGAGCCCGAUACUCCCUCUCUCCCUUUCUCUCCAUUUUUGAUUUAGUUUUUGCUAAACCCAACCUCAUAAACUCACCCUUCUCAAUCUAAAUCACGCUUGAGGAGCAUAAGGAAAUUUUAGUGAUGUCGUUCAAGUAAAUCGCUCUUGAGGGGUUGAGGAAAUCACUGCCCAAUUCAGGAAAUCACUACUUGAGACGAAAGGACUCGUAACUUUUUUACCCAUCAAUGUGGUUGCUAAGCAGCGGUAGCCUUUUACUUCAAUUUUUCCUUCUUUUGUGUGCGUGAGUGUGUGUUUUUUUUUUUUUUAAUUAUUAUUGUUGGUGACAUUCCUUUUCUUGUUACCAGGUUGGUUAAUAAUUCGUGCUUUUUUCUAUUAAGAUUCGCUUUGCUUUUAUCCAUUUCUUGAAACUUUUACAAUCCCCAAACAGCUUCCCUAACUUGGAUAUUGAACUCUAUAUUCAUGUGAUUAUUAUGCCAUGGGUGCAUGUACCCAUUUUUUCUUUCAGAAAAAAAUAUUUGAACAAUGCCAUUUUAUAAAUAUUUAGUGGUUAAGUGCAUAUUUAGAAGGAAAGCAUCUACUCAACAACUUGUAUAUCUGAAUUGCUUGAACAGUCAAUGCUUUGUCUAAUGAGCAGGCUCAGAAGAGAAUUUUUUCUGAUAAGAUAAAUUUUGCAGUCUGUGUAACUAAUUAUUUGUUGGAAUAGGGUAAUUAUGUGGUUCAAGUGUUUGGGAUUGUUGAUCGAUGCUUGUAGUAUUGAUUUUUGAAUUCACAAAUAUGCUUUCUAAAAGAUAGGAUUUAAAGACUAAGAAAGCAAUUCUUGAAAAAAGUGGAGGUUACAGUAUUGCAGAAGUAGCUGCAAAUAAGAGGGUUUUAAGGAUUUUUUGGUUGGUCAUUUGAUGGCUAAAGAGUGUGAAAACUAUAUGUGAAUUUGGGGUUUAAAUAGGUUAAAGAAACGGAUUUGUUUUGGGGGUAAGGAUAUAUCAUGCUUAACCAAGCUGUCUUUGUGGCAUCAACUACUGAGUUGAUGCUGACUGUCUUUUAACUUGCCAUAACUUUUUAAGAUUUCUCGUGAGUUGGCUAUAUUCCUGAAUUGAUUUCUUGUAUUAUCUAGUGUUAGAACUCUCUUGAUAUUUAGUUAUUAAGUUGAUUGAUUAUUUUGGUUCUUUCUUUUUCCCUGUUUAUCAUAUCUUCUUCUUGAGUCACUUUAUCAAGCCAAAAAAGUUCUCUUGUAUGAUUCCCCAGCGAUUAACAUGAGAUAUUAUAGAUUCUAUUCUCACAACCUUGAUAACAUUUUCAGUCAACAGUCCAAAGUCCCAGGUUUGAUCAUGCUUCUAUCCUCAGUUUGAUUACUAAAUUUGAUCAUUGGGAUUUCCACAUUUUCUCAUCUUUAUUUUGAGGGUUCAUAUUAUCUUUCUGCUUUGUUUGUUUGAGAUCUGUGGUUGAUAAAUGACAUUUACCAUAGCCAAUGAGCAGACUGCUGCAAUAAUUGAUGGUAAGUCAAUUGCAGGGUAGAUUAUGUCCAGAAUAGCUUAUGAGGUCUGGAGGAUGAAGGAGUCCAUUGGAAGCGUUCCUGGAUUGGCUGUCAUUAUGGUGGGACAGAGAAGGGACUCCCAAACUUAUGUACGCAACAAGAUAAAAGCUUGUCAUUAUGGGUUUUCAAUAUCUUUGUAUAGAAGAAUUGGUGGCCACUGAUAUUGCACUUAAGUGUGAUUUUUCCAAAUUGUAGAUGUAUAUAUUUGUUUCAUAAAUUGUAUAUAUAAUUGUUGGGUAGAA